rnacentral:lncRNA from 1 species
GUUUGCGGGUGCCAUGCCCACGAUGGCAAGUGUUAAGCUCUCUGCACUUCGGCCCAUUGUGAAUCAUCCACAUUAUGAAGACGCAGGCUUGAGGCCUGGUUGCAGUAUGCCUGAAAUUUGGGAUGUAGAAGAUCCUGCCAAUGCUGGGAAAACUCCCUUAUGUAACCUCUUGGUGAAGGAUUCCAAACCUCACUUCACCACUGUAUUCCAGAACAGUGUUUACAAAGUCCUAGAAGUUGUAAAAGAAUGACUGCU